rnacentral:lncRNA from 1 species
CACCAACCACAACAAUGACCGACCUUAGAACGUUGAGCCAGGUCAUUUAAAAUUGGAAAGAAAAUGGAGUUAAAUUACAGAACAGUCCCUGAGUCCAACUCCACCCAACUAUAACUGGGCCCUGAGUCCAUAAUCCAAAGAAAUUGUACGCAAAUGCCCUUUGGUUGGGAGAUAAGAGUUGGUGAGACCGGCGCAAGUAGUAAAUUGGAAUAUUAAUAGGUCAACAUCUCACCAACUUCCUCUGGUUACUUUUUCUCUCCCUCUGACUUUGUGCUAUGGUGCACUCCCUCCCUAUUUAAAUGACAUUUUAGAGAUGAGCAUACUCAUUAAGAUAAUAAUUAAAAAUUAUUAAAUAUACUAUUCAAUUGUCUAUAAUACCCUUAAAUCAUUAAUGAGUUUAAAAUACCAAAAAAAAUACUGUAAAGUAAUGAAGGGUAUUUUUAGAAAAAUUAUCAUUAAUUUUCCUAAAUUUGAACAAACGUCAAAUAAUUAAGCACAAAUAAAAAAUCUAAAACAUCAUUUAAAUAGGAACGGAGAGAGUAUUUGGUAAUUUACGGUUACACCACAUGCGUAGUAUCAAAGGUUGAUUUUUGUAUAUAUUUCAUGAGUAGUAUUACCCUCCAUUAGGUGCGGUAGGCGAGUACUGUCUUAAAAAACAAGAAAAAAGAAAAAAAUAAGCAGAGUACGCAAAAUACGACUUGUUUUUUCCUUCUUUAAAUCUCAACUCACUUUCACCAAAUUAUGACCCAUAAACUCCCCCCACUCAAAUUAUUAACAAACACUACUUACUAAUUACCACCUUCUCUUCUGGCCUGCCUGCUUGCUUUCAUCUUCAAACUCCAACACCACAAUUAUUAAUGAAGAUCAACGUAAGAGAGUCGACGAUGGUGACGCCGGUGCAGGAGACGCCGCGGCAGAGUCUGUGGAACGCUAACGUGGAUCUUGUGGUACCUAAUUUCCAUACCCCGAGCGUAUACUUUUACCGGCCGAACGGGUCGUCCAAUUUCUUUGAGCCGACACUAGUUAAGGA